GUCCUGGGUAGCCUAGUGGACAUGGCAUCUGCCCGGUAAGCGGAACACUGUUGGUUUGAUUCCCAUCCCUGGACA
rnacentral:tRNA from 1 species